rnacentral:rRNA from 1 species
GACCUGCACAGGUGCUGCAUGGCUGUCGUCAGCUCGUGUCGUGAGAUGUUGGGUUAAGUCCCGCAACGAGCGCAACCCUUAUCCCCAGUUGCCAUCAGGUAAAGCUGGGAACUCUGGGGGAGACUGCCGGUGAUAAACCGGAGGAAGGCGGGGAUGACGUCAAGUCCUCAUGGCCCUUACAUCCCGGGCUACACACGUGCUACAAUGGCAGGUACAGAGGGCUGCAAAGCCGCGAGGUAGAGCGAAUCCCAGAAAACCUGUCUCAGUCCGGAUUGAAGUCUGCAACUCGACUUCAUGAAGGCGGAAUCGCUAGUAACCGCGAAUCAGCAGGUCGCGGUGAAUACGUUCCCGGGCCUU